AACAGACGAGGGCUGCGAAAAAGGUAGUGGAUUCCACUGAUUUGGGCAUCAAGAGAGACAGAAAAAAAAAAUAGGAGGCUACGCGUGUAUUUUCCCCACAUAAAUGGAGGGCCGACAUUAGGAAUCAGGCAGAGGAAUUUUUAAACAUGGUGAAAGAACAAGAGGUCGAACGCAUCGCAAAGAAGCUGGACAAAAUGGUGCACAAGAAAAACACGGAUGGCGCCAUAGACAUGCUAAAGGAACUGAAGAGCAUGAAAAUGUCGUUGGAGACCCUCCAGUCAACACGGAUCGGCAUGUCCGUGAACGCUGUGAGGAAACAGAGCUCAGACGAGGAGGUGCAGUCACUGGCCAAGUCGCUCAUCAAGACCUGGAAGAAACUGCUUGAUGGUUCUGAGAGCAAAUGUGAAGAGAAGAAAAGGGGAGGCUCCCCGCUUCAGUCGUCAUCGUCUAAAGACAGUCCUGGAUCCAGUGACUUCAGUAAGAAACCAGCCACACCAAAGACUCCCACCACCCCUACAACUCCCACGACGCCCAAGUUCACAUCGUUCCCUCCGGCACCGGUCACCACCGACAGCGUGCGCACCAAGUGCCGCGAGCUCCUGGUGGCAGCCCUGCAGACAGACGAUGAUUACAAAACAAUCGGCGCGGACUGCGACGCUUUGGCAGCAGAGAUCGAAGAUUGCAUCUACAAGGAGUUUAAGUCCACGGACAUGAAGUACAAGGCCAGGCUGAGGAGCCGCAUCUCCAACCUGAAGGACCAGAAGAACCCGGACCUGCGUCGCAGCGUUCUGUGCGGCAACAUUGCUCCUGAGCGCAUUGCCACCAUGACUGCUGAGGAGAUGGCGAGUGCAGAGCUGAAAGAAAUGAGAAAGGCUCUUACUAAAGAGUCCAUCCGGGAACACCAGCUCUCUAAAGUGGGUGGCACCGAGACUGACAUGUUUAUUUGUGGGAAGUGCAAGGGCAAGAGCUGCACCUACACCCAGGUUCAGACACGCAGCGCCGAUGAACCCAUGACCACCUUCGUGCUGUGCAACCAGUGUGGCAACCGGUGGAAGUUUUGUUAAGGUAUGCCCAGCAAUCGCAUGUGUGAAGAAGUGACAGACCCAUUGAGAGAAGAGGUUGGAGAGAUACAGAAGUUUAGCACUAAAGUCUUGUUUGGCAUUGGGCCAAAGAUUGAGUGCUAACAUUCCAUAUGUAUUAUGUGACCUUUUGGACCAGUCUGGCUUAUUAAACUCUGAGAAGGAUGUGCA